UUUCUGGACAGCUUUAGAAAAUAUGCAGACACGCAAUCCCAAAAUAUAGAAAGUAUGUGGUGAAUGGGCUUUACCCUUUUAUUGCGAUUGUGUUUUGUUUUGUUUUGUUUUUUUAGAUUUGUAUUGUUGACCCCUCUCUGAAGCACAGUAACUGCUGCGAAGAGAACAGGGACUCUAGAGACAAGAAAUAAAGACACAGUCUCUUCGGGUUUUUGAGACGAACAUGAGGUUUUGAAUUGAAAACGUGACAACCAGCCCUGCUGGCAGCCAGAUGGUGGUUUCCUAACUGCAGCUCAGCCGUGCUCACGCAAGCCCCCCGCCCUCCAACAAGUUUAGAACAAGACGGACGUGGCCAUUCUCCAAACACAAAAGUGAGCUCCUAGUCAUCUUUGGUGAACAUCCUUUAGCAGAACACCGAAAAGCUAAAGCUUUAAGCCCCUCCCGUCUCUAGUGGUUCAAAUAGAGGUUCAAGUGCAAGGAGCUAGCUACCUGCAGGCUGCAGCACCAAGCGAGUUGGAACUGUUGCUAGUUCAUUCACCUUGGCCUCCAAUAACUCCACCUGCAUUUCUGUUUCCUCCAGCACGGACUGGCGGGUUAGGGGAAGGAAUGUGGACCCUGAGAAGGCAGCCACCACCUUCCCCAGCUUAUUACAGUUCCAGGAAAGCUUCCCUCUUCUGCUUGCUCUUUCCGUAGCCAUCAUUCAGGCCUGACGGGGUCCCUAGGGAAAAAAGAGGCAACCUCUUCGGUGAAGAAAUAGUGAGACCCUUGUGUUAGGGGAGGGGGGGAGUUUCUUCUAAGGUAUGUUUAGCGGGUCGAGGAGUUUUGCCUGAGGUUGUGCCCAUCCGAAAUCUAUUAACACUAGAUGUAGGAGAGUCAGUGAGAACUGGCCUUGCAACCGUUUGCAGGUGUUUCUGGAACACCUGCGUCUGGAAAAAAAAAAAAAUCCCACACGAGGACCGUGACUAAAAGGGGUGAGGAAUGUUUUCCAAUGAGAGUCUCAGGACACUCAGGAGUAGGACACUUGAACACAAGCUUCAGACAGUUUUCCAAUGAGGUGCAUGGGGUGAUGCUAUAAAACUGAGUCUUCAGGGGCGCCUGGGUGGCUCAGUCAGUUAAGCGUCUGACU